UAGCUUCCAUCAGUUUUAGAAAUGUGCCACCUUGUCUGACACAAUUUGAGCUUGCUAUAGCAAGAAAGUCUAACAUAUUCCGGUGUUCUCUCUUUGUGGGAUAAGCCGUUAUAUAGACUUUAACGGU